rnacentral:rRNA from 1 species
AUACGGAGGAUGCGAGCGUUAUCCGGAUUUAUUGGGUUUAAAGGGUGCGCAGGCGGCCAUUUAAGUCAGCGGUUAAAUCGUGGGGCUCAACCCCAUUCUGCCGUUGAUACUGGGUGGCUUGAUUGCGGUCGAGGUUGGCGGAAUUCGUUGUGUAGCGGUGAAAUGCAUAGAUAUGACGAAGAACACCGAUUGCGUAGGCAGCUGACCAGACCGCAAAUGACGCUCAUGCACGAAAGUGCGGGGAUCGAACAGGAUUAGAUACCCUGGUAGUCCGCACAGUAAACGAUGAAUACUCGCUGUUUGCGAUACACUGUAAGCGGCCAAGCGAAAGCGUUAAGUAUUCCACCUGGGGAGUACGCCGGCAACGGUGAAACUCAAAUGAAUUGGCGGGG